rnacentral:sRNA from 1 species
GGCACAGGCAGGGCGCCCCGCAGACCCGGACAACGCUGGGUGUGGCUGAAAACAGGGAGUCAUGGCUAAGGCAGCUGGAUAAGCACAGCCAGGCCACAGCCCAGCAGCUGGUGCAGCUCCUCAGCAAGCAGAACCAGCUUCUCCUGGAGAGGCAGAGCCUGUCGGAAGAGGUGGACCGGCUGCGGACCCAGUUACCCAGCAUGCCACAAUCUGAUUGCUGACCUGGAUGGAACAGAGUGAAAUAAAUGAUUUACAAAGAGAUAUUUACAUUCAUCUGAUUUAGACUUAAUAUGCCACAACGCACCACGACCUUCCCAGGGUGACACCGCCUCAGCCUGCAGUGGGGCUGGUCCUCAUCAACGCGGGCGCUGUCCCCGCACGCAGUCGGGCUGGAGCUGGAGUCUGACUCUAGCUGAGCAGAGCUCCUGGUGUAUGUUUUCAGAAAUGGCUUGAAGUUAUGUGUUUAAAUCUGCUCAUUCAUAUGCUAGGUUAUACAUAUGAUUUUCAAUAAAUGAACUUUUUAAA